CCCCUGGAGCUGGAGAAGGAGCUGCCGGGGGAGCGCCCGGACACAGAAACCAAUGGACCCGACACGAACCACCAGGCCCAGCAGAACAAACCCCCCCCCUUCGGCCCCGCCCCCCCCGGCCCCGGCG